rnacentral:rRNA from 1 species
CCUACGGGAGGCAGCAGUGAGGAAUAUUGGUCAAUGGACGAGAGUCUGAACCAGCCACGCAGCGUGAAGGAUGACUGCCCUAGGGGUUUUAAGCUCCUUUUAUAUGGGAGUAAAAUGUUCCACGUGUGGGAGUUUGUAUGUACCAUAUGGAUAAGGAUCGGCUAACUCCGUGCCAGCAGCCGCGGUAAUACGGAGGAUCCGAGCGUUAUCCGGAUUUAGUGGGUUUAAAGGGGGCGUAGGUGGAUUGUUAAGUCAGUUGUGAAAGUCUGCGGCUCAACCGUGAAAUUGCAGUUGAAACUGGCAGUCUUGAGUGCAGUAGAGGUAGGCGGAAUUCGUGGUGUAGCGGUGAAAUGCGUAGAUAUCAGGAAGAACACCGAUUGCGAAGGCAGCUUGCUGGACUGCAACUGACACUGAGGCUCGAAAGUGUGGGGAGCAAACAGGAUUAGAUACCCUGGUAGUC